GAAAUGCGAUAAGUAAUGUGAAUUGCAGAAUUCAGUGAAUCAUCGAAUCUUUGAACGCACCUUGCGCUCCUUGGUAUUCCUUGGAGCAUGCCUGUUUGAGUAUCAUGAAAUCUUCAAAGUAAAUCUUUUGUUAACUCAAUUGGUUUCUACUUUGGUAUUGGAGGUCUUUGCAGCUUCACACCUGCUCCUCUUUGUUCAUUAGCUGGAUCUCAGUGUUAUGCUUGGUUCCACUCGGCGUGAUAAGUUAUCUAUCGCUGAGGACACUGUAAAAGGUGGCCAAGGUAAAUGCAGAUGAACCGCUUCUAAUAGUCCAUUGACUUGGACAAUACUUUUAUGAUCUGAUCUCAAAUCAGGUAGGACCACCCGCUGAACUUAAGC
rnacentral:misc_RNA from 1 species